GACGAACGCUGGCGGCGUGCUUAACACAUGCAAGUCGAACGGAAAGGCCCUGCUUUUGUGGGGUGCUCGAGUGGCGAACGGGUGAGUAACACGUGAGUAACCUGCCCUUUACUUUGGUAUAACUUCAUGAAACUUGGUCUAAUACCGGAUAUGAGCUCCUGCUGCAUGUUGGGGGUUGGAAAGUUUCGGCGGUUGGGGAUGGACUCGCGGCUUAUCAGCUUGUUGGUGGGGUAGUGGCUUACCAAGGCUUUGACGGGUAGCCGGCCUGAGAGGGUGACCGGCAACAUUGGGACUGAGAUACGGCCCAGACUCCUACGGGAGGCAGCAGUGGGGAAUAUUGCACAAUGGGCGGAAGCCUGAUGCAGCAACGCCGCGUGCGGGAUGACGGCCUUCGGGUUGUAAACCGAUUUCCACUGUGACGAAGCGUGAGUGACGGUAAUGGGUAAAGAAGCACCGGCUAACUACGUG
rnacentral:rRNA from 1 species